rnacentral:lncRNA from 1 species
GAGGUACUUAGAGGUACUUAAAGGUGGAUCAACGGAGGGGUCAGGUACGGAAUAAAAUUAUUGUAACAUGAUAGGAGAUGAGUAAAUGAAAACGUAAAUCAUGGCUACCCUGUUAAUUUAGCGAUUGAUUCAAUCUGUAUCGGAGAGAGAGAAAAAAAAUCAAAGAUCACAUUUCCUUUCUUCUCUAGCUACCUUUAGAGAUAUCCAUGACUUAUUUACGCAGUUAAUUAGUUGUUUAUGUAGUCAAGGAAGAAGUUUCAUGUUUUAUAGGGAUAAAUUGAUAAAAUAUUAUAUAAUUUAAAUCGACGCAAAUCUUCGGUGAUAUUUUAACCGGUCAUGUUUUUGAAACACAAUACAAAUCUCUUCUAGUAAAAAAGAUAUAAAUCUCAAAAGAAUUAAACGGAGGGAUUUUGACAUGUUCUUGAGAACAUAACGUAAAUCUAGACAAGGGAACACAAAUGAAAACUUUUACACCAAUAACGUUUUCUUCGGAACAAAACGUAUGUAAAUAUAAAGAAAAUCAUGCAGAUGAGAAUCUCAAAGAACACAACAUAAAUCUAUAGAAAAUCAUGCAAAUGAGAACAGCUAGUACCAAGCAAAUCACUUAACCGGUACCUAUGCGGUACCGAUAAAUUUAGGGACAAUUCUACCAUUUCUCUCAACAAGUAUAUUUAUGUUUUUACCCUUGAUAUCUAAGUACCUAUACUAAUACUUAAAUACUUUUCACAUGGUACCUAUUAUUGAGGAGCGUUGGAUUUUUACCUUUUUUGGAAUGCAAACACCGUAAAAGUUCUCGCGAGCACAUACAUACAUAUGUACCUAUACAUUUUUAUUUUUAAGAUUUUUACCACAACUUGUAGUACUUUUGUACAAUUCACAGAAUAGUACUAUAGGCCAUGCUACAAACUGAUUUGUUGUUGUUUGUCACAGUCUUCUCUGCAGGAGAUAGUAGUUAGUAACUUGCUAUUCUUCUUUGGUGAUGGUGUUGCAUGUUCUUCUCGGGUCCUUCACACAGAGUUCAUUUGUGUGUGUGGUUGUUAGUCAGAAUAUUGUGUGUGGGACAUGCAAUGUGUUCAUAUGUUUGGAUACUUCUUUGAUUUUGGUCAGCAUUUCUGUCACUGUGUGCAGAAGUUUUGAUUUCUUUACAUGUUCAAAAGUAUUAGAACUUCUAUAUGGUUCAAGUUUGUGGUAAAAGAAUUUGAUUAGCUUGAUUUGUUUACUCUAAUUCUUUUCAAGGAGAGUUUUAGCUAUGCAUGGAGGAUGUCAGUUCUUAUCCAUGAAGGUGGAUGUGGAUUCUGAAGAAAUUAAGCAACAUAUCGUCCAUGGGCUAAUUUCCUAUGUUCAGGUAUUGAUUUGUCUAUUAUUUACUGAAAAUUAGCAGGUUUUGUCCUGCAAAUUCACUGAUAUUUGUGUUCAAAAAUCUGAACUUGGGGGCUAUUAAUAUUGGGUAAAUUUUAAAAGAUUAGUAUCAGUUUUGUUUGUUGUGGAUUCUGAAAAGAAAUCGGGCAUACUAUCUCAAUGUCAUUUUCAGUACCUACACAAAGACCAAUCAUUAGCAAAAUAUUGUAUUCUUGUUUGCUCUGUGUUUCUGUUUCUGUUUAUGUUUUUGGUUUUGGUUUUGUCUUUUCUGUGUUUUUGUUAACCUUCUAAAUUUUGCCAAAAUAAAUUGUUUUUUGUGUCCCAUUUGUAAUUUUUCUAGUACAUUUUUAGGUGUACUGAGUAGUUGUGCUAGUUCUAGACUAGUGUCAAGAGCUCCAAAGGUAGUCUUUAAUUAGAAUUGAGUAAAGUCUAUCACCGGUCCCUAAACUUAUAUCGUUGUGUCAUCCCAGUCCCUAAACUCGCAAAUCAACCGUUCAGGUCCUCAAACUUGUUCGACUGUGUCAUCCCGAUCCCUAAACUUGCAGAUCACUCGUUUAGAUCCUCCAACUUGUUCAGCUGUGUCACCCCGGUCCCUAAACUUGGAUUUGAAUAUCAUAUGGGUCAAAUAGGAUGGUCUAAAUACUUUAUAUUUAAAAAUAAUUCAUAACUUUUUCAUGUGAACUCUAAUGAAGAUAAACUCUAUAUAUCAAACUUGUAGCCCGCGACGCGAUCUACAACUUUGUAGUUGAAUUUUUUUUUAUUUUAAGUCAUUUUUGUCCCAAAAUGUAAUUUUAAAAUUAAAAUUACAAAAUCUAUAAAUAUGCAACAAUAUUUUGGGACCCUAAACAGUUUUAAUUUAAAAACUUUUCAACUACAAAGUUGUAGGUCGCGUUGAGGGCUACAAUUUUGAUAUAAAGUUUGUCUUCAUUAGAGUUAACAUGAAAAAGUUAUGAAUUAUUUUUUGAUAUAAAGUUUUUAGACCGUCCUGUUUAGGGACCGAGGUGACACAACUGAACAAGUUGGAGGACCUAAACGAGUGAUCCGCAUGUUUAGGGACUGGGAUGAUACAGUCGAACAAGUUUGAGUACCUGAACGGUUGAUUUGUGAGUUUAGGGACCGGGAUGACACAGCGGUACAAGUUUAGGGACCGGUGAUGGACUUUACUCAUUAGAAUUUUAUGCAUGACUAUGUGCAUCUGAAUACCUCAUCAAUAAUAAGUACAAAACAAGUUCUCAUGUCUAGUUUUCUCAACUACUAACAUUUCUAGUUUUGUGUUUUGUCAGCCAUUUGAUAUUUCUGCAAAAGUUAGUUUUGUUUUCUAGACCAAAUAUCUGGAAAUCAGUUUUGUCAAUCCUUGACUAGCUGAGCAAUUAAUUUUGUACAUCCGAAUAGUAUUGUUUUGUUAGCAUUUAGUAGUUGCAUAUAACAUAUGACAAUGUUCCUUAACUAGCGGUUAUCUAACUACAUGUUUUAUCAACUUUGCCGACCAACCACCAAGAGGUAAGACUGGGACAACCAUUAUCUGUUAGCCAAUUCAAAUUGCAAUAUUCCCUACAUUAGCCCACUCUAUAGGGCAUAAGCUAUCACCUAGAAGAUUUUUUGUUCAAAGUGUGUGUAAUAUUCACAUGAUUGUUAACCUGAUCGUUGACUUGAUGAAUUUGUAGGUUUGUCUGCAACAUAGUUUGCUGAAUGAAUUCAGACGUAUGUCAUAGAGGUAGUUAGGCCCUAUGUGAGUCAUUGUACUUACUAGUUUUGAUACCCAAAUUAUAGUUUAGUUGCUUCAUUUUUCAGGGUGGAAAUAUGAAAGCGGCAUGCAUCGAGUCAUUCUCCAUGCCUUAUUAGAU